CCACCCGGAGCAAGACCAAAUAGGAUCCCUUAACGUGUGGCCCGCAUGGGGAUCGGGUAGGUUGCUUGAAUCAGUGAGUGAUUGCUGAUCUAGAGGAAUGGUUGCCCACGACAGAACCCGGCUUACGGCCAACUCCACCU
rnacentral:ncRNA from 2 species